UGUAGAGGCGAGGCGAGGCGAGGCGAGCCGUGCCGGGCUGUGCCGAGCCGUGCCGGGCUGUGCCGCGCAUGCCGGGGGGCUCCCGAGCGGGCCCCCAGCGCCCGGGGAGCCCCGGCCCCAUGGAGUGCUACUACAUCGUCAUCAGCUCGGCGCACCUCAGCAACGGGCACUUUCGCAACAUCAAGGGAGUUUUCCGAGGUCCCCUGAGCAAGAACGGGGACAAAACUCUGGAUUAUGCUGAAAAGAAAAACACGAUAGCAAAAGCCCUGGAAGAUCUUAAAGCCAACUUCUACUGUGAACUCUGUGACAAGCAGUACUAUAAACAUCAGGAGUUUGACAAUCACAUUAACUCAUAUGAUCAUGCUCACAAACAGAGACUCAAGGAACUGAAGCAGAGGGAAUUUGCUCGAAAUGUAGCAUCGAAGUCAAGAAAAGAUGAAAGGAAACAGGAAAAAGCCCUUCAACGUUUGCACAAGUUAGCUGAGCUAAGGAAAGAGACAGCGUGUGCUCCUGGAAGUGGCCCCAUGUUCAAAUCCACUACAGUGACUGUGCAAGAUAAUUCCAAUGAUAUCCCACAAAAUGCUGCCAUAGAUUCUGCCAACAAACAGGAUUUCAGCUGUACAUUAAUAAACGAUGUGCAGAACUGCAAAGAUGCUACUUCAGUUAUUUCUUCCACUCCUGAAAAUGUGUGUAGUAAUAAAUCUGACACUAACAAAUUUGGAGAUCAAGUUCAAGGAGCUCAAGGGCAACGAGUUGGGUUCUCUUUUGCUUUUCCUAAGAAAGCAGCAGUCAAACUGGAGUCUUCAGCUGCCGUUUUCUAUGAAUAUAAUGAUGAAACAUCCACAGAACAUGGAUUUAGCAGAAGAAGUAGAUUUAUUCCAGGAGUCUGUAGUCUUCAGUCUCCAUCAGCGGCAGAAAUAGUCCUGUGCCCCGAGGAGAAAAAUAGCUGUUUCCACCCAGUGGUGGAAAAAUGCACUGACACAGCAGAAGCUCCCAAAACUCAGGAUUCAAAAGAGCUGGCUAGUGAAGAAAGUAGAGAGCUAGAGAGUCCUGUAUUAAUUCCUGCUGUUUCCCAUUCAAAGCAACUAAUGUCUUCUGACAUGGAUGGCUGCAGUACUGAUGGAAAUACAGCAGAUGUACCAAGUCAAACACUGUCCACAGUUGUGGACAGUACUCAUAACAUACCCCUGGGCUGCAGCAGUUGUGAACUGCUGGGAAAUGGAACUAUCACUCAGACUGUGGUGGAGGAUUGUCUAACCCUUCAGAACAUUGUAGAGGAAAAUGGUAAAGAUGGGAACAGUGAAGUCACAGUUGAAACUGAAAUAAAGAAUCUGGAGGCAGAUCCAUUAGUUCCAUCACAUUCUGAAGAUGGUAGUAGAGCCCCCCAAAGCAAGCUGGACACGCGCAAGCGAUCUUGUGAACCAUUUGUUCCUGUUCUUAGCAAACAUGGAACAAAUGUUCUUCAGUGGCCAUCAGAAAUGUUAAUUUACACAAGUACAGAUCCGUCAAUUUCUUAUAGCUGUAAUCCUUUAUAUUUUGACUUCAAGUUGUCAAAAGUGAGUGACAACCAAGAAAAGCGCAAGCAUCAGCCAAGCAUACCUCAUUUACAACUCACAACUGAAUCCAACCAUAGCUCAGUCUCAGAUUUUACAAAUAAACCUACUUCAGAGUGUGGUGAUCAUGAAACGGAAGUGGAUAAAAAUGUGUGUGACUACACAAUACCCCUUAUAAGUGAUGUUUCCCACAUCAGGAAUUGUGAUCUUGCAAAAAUUCAAAAUAAAGUGUCCUUGGGUGAGUCAUUCAGGAUUAGAAAAUUAGAAAAGUAUCACAUUUCAAGAAACCACUUAAGACAAAGCACUGUGAUAGAUGAGAAAUAUAACAAAGUUCGGAUCAAAGAAAGUCAUGAAAAAUGGCUUCACAGAAGUAGAAAACGAAAAAGGAGAAGAAAAUUAUGUCAUUGUCAUCAUCAUCAUCCUUCUGGGGAAGCAACAUUUGUAGAAAUGGAGAUUUCCUCAGUGACUGAAAAGGAAAUUAGUCACAGAGAUGAAAAUAAGUAUCUGCACCUCCAAAAUAACCCAGAGAAAUGUAGAUAUGAUGCAGGGAAUAUUUGGUUAGCUAUGGAUGAGGUACAGCAGUCACAUCAAAAAGCUGGCCUUGACAAUGGUCAUAAAAGAAGCACGUCUACAUCAGAUCACAUACAUGGGGACAGAGGCUCGUGUGACAUUUGGAAUGCAAAAACUAGGGACCAACGCAGUGGUUGUAGACUACUGCACAGAAAGAGAAAAGCAAGCUCUCGGAGACAAUUAAAGCAUCUGUCUCAAACUUCUAGGAGGCACAACUGCAUGUGCUCUAAAAUGUGCUGUAGUUGGAAAGUCAGGAGACUGGUCUGUAGCCCAGAGCAUAAAUGUUUAGGUCCCUGCAGUGAGGCAAAGAGUAUGAGUCAAAAUCACUCCGUAAAGAGAAGUUACAACUUUCUGACAGAUGAACCGGAAAAAUCCCACAGGAAGCGGAGACAGCAUACCUAUUCCUGUUCUUCAGAUGAAAGCUCGUAUGGACAGACAUUUUUAGAAGAAGGAUAUGUAAGGCAAACAAGCACUUCAGGUAUGCAUCACAAAGAAAAAUGUAAACACAGAAGGAGGAAAACUAGAAUCAAACAUGUAUGCAUUGACAGGAAUACAAGAAGUGAGACCUCCAGGCCUUCUAAAGAAAACUCUGCAAAUUCCACAUUAAAUGUUUUGGGAGAAUUCUUGACUCGAGACAACAUGGAGGAAACUAAUGUGGAUCCCAAAGCUGAUCAUGCAAAAGUUACAGAUGAAACAAUGCAACUGGAGGAAAACAAGUCAGCCCUACAAAUGUAUAGUUCACAUUUGUUGGAAAAAGACACGCUGACAGAUUGUGUGGCACCAGAGAGCACUCCAGGUGCACCUUCAGAAGCUGUCACACAUUCUGCUGCUUCUGCUGCUGAGUGUGGUGCCCCCGCAUCUGCAAACACACAGGACAUUCUGGAGGAUGAAAAGAAAAACGAAAAUGUAAACAGUCAUGAAAAUCAAGCUCAUUAUAAAGCUCCACCUGCCACUAGACCUUUGGAACAAGCUCCUCCUAAAUCAUAUGUUUGCCAUUAUGAAUUGGCCGAGUCUCUGCCAUGUGAGAAGAUAAAUGAGGUGACCAAUGAAUGGGUACAGUGUAAUUCUGGCAUAUUUGACAGCCCACCACCUUUGCCAUUCAAAGAAGCACAUAUAAACAGUCACACCUUUUUAACUACUGAGCAGUUAAUAGCCCCCUUCACCCUGCCUGACCAGACGUUGAUAUUCCCUCCAGAUAACCACGAAAAAUUCAAAGACCUCCCAUCCGAGGCGUAUCAGCAGCUCAUGCAGCAAAACAUGCUGGCCAACAAAGUGAAGUUUACCUUUCCUCCCCCAGCCAUCCAGCCCCCCAGCUCUCCAUUGCAGCCCCUACCGUUGCAGCCACCGCUGUGUUCUACCUCUGUUACCACCAUCCAUCACACUGUCCUGCAGCAGCACGCAGCCGCUGCCGCCGCCGCCAGUACGUUUAAGGUCCUCCAGCCCCACCAGCAGUUCCUCUCGCAGGUCCCGGCUCUGUCCAGAGCGCCUUUACCUCAUCUGCCGGUAGGACCUAGGCUUUGUCCAGGAGGCCACGCGGCUUUUGUCGCUCCACCGCAUUUGCCGCUGGUGCCGCCCUCGGUCCUGCACCCGACCCAGCUGGCGUUCUCACCGCUGCCACAUGCCGUGUUCCCCUCCCUGCUGUCCCCGCAUCCGGCUGUCCUUCCGCUGCAGCCCCUCUUCUAGGACAGGUUCUCGGAGUGGGAAAGGAGCCUUCAGAUAAACAGACUUGUGGUUCCUGUCAAGCCCUCAGCUUUGCAGAAUGGUUCUGUGAAAUAAACUGGUCGAAAUUCCUCUUUCAUUGGGAAACAUUUACUAGACUUCUCCCUACCUCUGCAACCUUUUUAUUGCUGUUGAACCUCACCUGACUUCAGCCAGUGAAAUCUUCUCAUUUGCUUUAAUACAAGAUAUAUCAGGCCCACACCUGUGAUGGCCUAAAAUAAAACCAGAAGUGAGGCAGAGCUAGCUGUAUGAGUUAAAAUGAAGUCUAGCCACAUGAGUGAAACUAAGAAUUUGCACCAUGACCUUUAGUGCUAGAAGUAGAUCCUCCAUAAUAAAAGGUAGGGGCUAGCUUUCAAAUUAAUUACUUCUUUUCACUUUUUUAUAUAUGAUAAUAGAAUUAUAUACAGUUGAACUGAAGGAAUAGUAAUUUUGGAAGAUUAUUAAUAUACAUUGCAUAUUAAUAGUUACAUGCAUUAUCCAUUUGAAAAGUAAUAUUAUAUCCUGAAAGAUAUGUAGCUGGUUAUUAUUUUCUGCACCUAUAGCAUUAGAACUUACCUAUAUCAAUAUUGCAAGUCUUAGUAUAAUAUUGUGUUAAAACUGUAGCAAACAUCUUUUCAACUGUGUUGGAUACUCAAUGGAUGUGAGCUUUCCUUGUCAUGUCAUUACAAAGGGCUAAACUACAUUAAUAAAAAGUCGAUGAGAAAGAAUAGAUGAAUGGUUUGGUCAUGGGCUGCUUCUCAUAACCCCUGCCUGAGACUGGCAGGGAGCAGGACGUUGUUGAGCAUCUAUCCGUAUAAUGGCAUAAAGAGGGUAUAUUUUCUCUAGCUUGUAAUUUCAAGUGAAUGCCCAUUUCUAUUUAUCUGGUACCUGUACAACGCAUUUUAAGUGACUUUAUCCUGCUUCUUUAUGUCAAGAAUAUGCCUGCUCAAUCUGUAUGUCUCCACUACCUCCUGUAGCAGGCAGGUGUCCCACGCCUGUGUGUAAGCCAUGUUGCUCAAGCACUGGAACCUGUAUUUGAAACCUGAAGGUGUGUGCUUGCCACUCAGCCUCCUACCUUAGCUGGCUUGCGCUGGCUUUUGUAUUUCUGCACUCCUUGGCAGGAGUCAGCAUACAUGUUCUUUCUCCUGGAUCCCAAUGUCUUGUCAAAGAAAAUGAUCUAAUACUAUAGACUUGAAAAAAAGAAAUAAUAGGACAAUUGUGGUUAUACGUGAUCCAUAUCCAUUUUAUCCAUUUU